UACGAAGGGGGCUAGCGUUGUUCGGAAUCACUGGGCGUAAAGCGCGCGUAGGCGGACUGCCAAGUCAGAGGUGAAAUCCCAGGGCUCAACCCUGGAAUUGCCUUUGAAACUGGUAGUCUGGAGUCUCGGAGGGGGCAGGGGAAUUCCUAGUGUAGAGGUGAAAUUCGUAGAUACUAGGAGGAACACCGGAGGCGAAGGCGCCUGCCUGGACGAGUACUGACGCUGAGGUGCGAAAGCGUGGGGAGCAAACAGG
rnacentral:misc_RNA from 1 species